GUUACUGUGUGCCACGCCCAUAUCGAGCUACCGGUCUUCUGAUUGGGUUAUAUCCCAGAAAGGGGCGUGUCUACCAUAACGUCAAUCACUGGAUUCGGCUCCAAUGACGCCAGUCUGAGAACUGUUGCUGCUGUCGCGGUGCGCGGAGAACCGGAGACACACAUCGGCGCGUUUGUUUGGGGAUGUGCGUGAUUGAACGCGUCCAGAACACCGGAGCGCGUGAGUGCAGGUGUGUGUGACGGACAUCAUCAUGCUCAAAGGCUCUCGGUGAUCCACUCCUUCCCAUGAUUCCUCACCAGGCCGCCCCAUGCCAGCCCGUAACCAUGACGACCGCUCGCCCCCGCUCGCCCCUCCGUCGCCCGGCGGCCGUUUGACUGGAUGAGGAACCCGGCCUCCAGUGAUGUGAUGCACAGGUUCGAGGUUCUUGGGAUUGUGGGGGAAGGAGCGUACGGAGUCGUCCUGAAGUGCAGACACAAGGUAAGAUUUCAGAGAAACCAGUUCAGAGCGUGUCGUUUCUAAGCACACCACACACACUUCAUCUCAUCCGCUGCAUGUUUGGCUCAAAGAGUGUGUGUGUUCACAAAAAGUGUGGCUUGGAAAGCAUACAAGUCCAAACUAAUGACUCAUUUUGAAAUAAAGUAGCAUGUAGUAUCCUACACAUAUACUGUGCAGUGAUUUUCUGUCUGUUAAUGUGCAAUAAUAGUGUAUCCCAUAAUGCAAUCAUGCACUCAUAACAUAAAGAGCUUAUGUGACAUGAUGCAUUUUACUGUUUGAAAUGUUUAUUGUUUCUCUAAAGUGUGUAUUUAAUAAUAGGCACACUGUAGUGUUUUAUGUAUUCUUGUUUGAUGAUUUCUUUAAAUGAUAAGUCCUUAAAACACACACACACACACACACACACGU
rnacentral:lncRNA from 1 species